CAUAAGCUGCAUUGUACGUAUUGAUAUUAAGUUUUAACCUUUAAGCUGUAACAGGGAGUUUUAUAUAGAGCUGGAAUGACACGCCUUAUUCUCUUAUAGACAAUAAGGACAUGCAGGAUAGUUUCUGCGAACACCCACUUUGAGGAGUGGUGGUUUAAAACUUUCUAAUGAAUGUACGGCAAAGGCGGCUUACUU
rnacentral:other from 1 species